GUUUCUGUGCGCCUGGGCACUGCCCUGUGGAGGUCUGCUCUCUGGUUUCUGUGCGCCUGGGCACUGCCCUGUGGAGGUCUGCACUCUGGUUUCCAGGAUGGGAUCCCCUAGCUCUGCCCUGACUCCUGCCUGGUGUGAGGUCAGCAGUACGCUUGCUGCCUUGAGGGUAAGCACAGAUACCAGCUGGAGAAGCGUCCUGAGCUCUCUGAGUCUUUGAGCUACUCACAUCUUCAACAGACAUCACUUACUGACUUUUGCAAGAAGAGAAUGGAUGAGACCCCUCUUCUACCCUGGACGGCUUCCUUUUCUAACUAAGUUCCUCCCAAGCCCUGCUCCUUGUUCAUUGUAAUUAACAUUAAUUAAUUAAUUAAUCUCUUCCACAGGUGUCCACAAAUUCUGAAGCCCUCAAACAUGGAAAUAGCCCAGAUGUCCAGCAGUGGAUGAAUAGACAGACCAGAGUCACUGUAUCCAUAUGGGAAACAUUUGUCAGCUUGAGAAUGAAGCGACAUUCCCAGGUGCCCUGUACUGUGGACACACCUUGAGGAUAUUAUAAGACAGACUGAAAAGAGAGCUCUUGAACAUUGCAGGAGCGUCACAACAUGGCAUAAUCUUGAGAUCAGCCACACAAAGUGAAACUCCUCGGCCCUUUCCUGCAACUUCUUUGGUAGGUAAGGAUGGAGGAUGCUGGCCUUGGAGUUCUUUGGAGGUAAGAGAUGAGCUCAAGGUGACAAAGUUAGUAGGCCACAGCUAGACACAACCCCAGCACCGUGAAGUUUCAUCAGAAAAGCUUCCUGCUCCUCUUCAAGAAGAUGGUCGUUCAGAUGCUCUGGGCUUCACCAACAGCCUUCCUCAGGACCCAUGUCUGCACUGUCUCGCCACAUAGGGAAGUACUGGACUUUCAAAUGGCCUCAUGAACUUUUUAUAACGAAACAGAACAUACACAAAAGUAGAAAGAAAUGUGCAGUGUUGCCUCCCUCCCUGGGUAUUAUAAGUCCAACAUACAUCAAUGUAUGGCCUCUCUUGUCUGUGCUCCACCAUUUCUUCACACUGUUAAUGCAAGUCCCAGAGGUCACGUCAGUUCGGCUUUAAGCAUAGUUAUGUGUGCAUGACAAUCCAGCCAUCACCAAACAGCACCUGGUCUUAUAAGAUCAAAAUGGAGCUGAGAGAACCCUGAUACCUAUAAUGUCAUAGCCACCCUAAAAGUCUUAGCACAUUAUAUCACUCUUGUAUUUGUGGUGACACUGAUGUAAAUAUACCUACCGGUCAAGUGCAGGAAGGCCCUGGGUUUGGUCACCUGCAACUGGAGGGAGAAAGGGAGGAAGGGAGGGAGGGAUAGAUAGAUACUAUCUUGGAGAGAGGAGACUGUAAAGGAAGAUUUCAAGUUCACAACCCGUCUGGGCUUCUUUGAGAAUAAUGUCAAAAAAAAAAAAAAAAAAAAAAAGAGCCAGGUGUGCUGACAUACACCUUUAAUCCCAACACUCAGGAGGUAGAGGCAAGUAGAUAUCUGUGAAUUCAAGGCCAUCCUGGUCUACAAAGUGAGUCCAGGACACCCAGGGCUCUGUUACACAGAGAAAAACUGUCUCAAAAACAAAACAAAAAACAGAACAAAACAAGCAAGCAAACAAACAGAAAGAACAGUACAUGUGGUUGUGCACAGGACAUAAAUACUUGACUAUGGUAAUAAACCAUUAUGUUGCUG
rnacentral:lncRNA from 1 species